rnacentral:lncRNA from 1 species
GGAAAGUUCUUUGCGAGUGCCUGCAUCAUCCGUUCAACAGUAUCCUUACCUUUAGCUCUGGAGACCUUGACGAUCCACCAUUGGGGACCCAUUACCGCGAGUUUGUCGAGGUUAAGCUCUUCCUUCCAAGAGUUAAACUGCUUCUUUGGUUUCUUCAAUAGCCUUUCUUCCACGUCUUCCCUCCAAUUAUACGAUUUGUUUUCCUCUCUUUUCACGUUCCUCAACUCUCUCUUCUCUUUCGCAGUUAGAAUUUCCGCUUUUUCGUCGACCGAGGUUUGAAGAGUUGCCCGGAUUGGUUGAAAAACAACGCCGACGUUGGUGGGUUUUGUGAUGGUUGUGGGAAAGGGGAGACAUGGACGACGCCAUGAGAGAAGAAGCUCUUGGUUCAUCCU